UGAGGAAUAUUGGUCAAUGGCCGGAAGGCUGAACCAGCCAAGUCGCGUGAGGGAAUAAGGCCCUACGGGUCGUAAACCUCUUUUGCCAGGGAGCAAUGCCGUCCACGUGUGGACGGAAGGAGAGUACCUGGAGAAAAAGCAUCGGCUAACUCCGUGCCAGCAGCCGCGGUAAUACGGAGGAUGCGAGCGUUAUCCGGAUUUAUUGGGUUUAAAGGGUGCGUAGGCGGCCUGCCAAGUCAGCGGUAAAAUUGCGGGGCUCAACCCCGUACAGCCGUUGAAACUGCCGGGCUCGAGUGGGCGAGAAGUAUGCGGAAUGCGUGGUGUAGCGGUGAAAUGCAUAGAUAUCACGCAGAACCCCGAUUGCGAAGGCAGCAUACCGGCGCCCGACUGACGCUGAGGCACGAAAGUGCGGGGAUCAAACA
rnacentral:rRNA from 1 species